UACGAAGGGGGCUAGCGUUGCUCGGAAUCACUGGGCGUAAAGCGCACGUAGGCGGUUUGCUAAGUCAGGGGUGAAAUCCUGGAGCUCAACUCCAGAACUGCCCUUGAUACUGGCGGCCUUGAGUCCGGGAGAGGUGAGUGGAACUGCGAGUGUAGAGGUGAAAUUCGUAGAUAUUCGCAAGAACACCAGUGGCGAAGGCGGCUCACUGGCCCGGUACUGACGCUGAGGUGCGAAAGCGUGGGGAGCAAACAGG
rnacentral:rRNA from 1 species